AAUGUUUUAGAAAGGCUUUUGGGAAGACAAAAGUUUGAGUUUUCUGUUCAGCUCCUAAAUUUCAGAUUUGGUGAAGUUGUGUCUCCUUAAAGGUAGAAACAGGGGUGGUAAGAGAAAGCUGAGAAUUUAAAGAUUUAAACAUGAAGAUCUCUACAAGGCAAAAGCUUGUCACCCCCAUAUGUUUUCCCAAUCAGUUGGGAAACCAGACUUUAUCAGUUGAGACGGUCUGAGCAAAUAGGGUUGUCUUUUAGCUUUCUCUAAAAGUGGCCAGAUUAAUACUAAAUUCUGUAGAAUGAGAAGUGAAGUUUGGAGAAGGCAGCCUGCCUCAGAGAAGGGCUGCUGUCAGCACCACAGAGGACAAGAUGAAAUGCGAAUGGUCAGGUUCACUUUUGUUUAAAAUCAAUUUCAUUAGCUGCAACGCAACCUGGUUGUGUUUGUAUUUUCAGUAAUGGCUGGGAAUAAUUAAUUCUCCUUCAUUUACAGAUCCCUCGCGCUCUCAUCACUCAAAAGAAAACCCCAAAUUGUAUUAAAAAAAAAUUACUUUGACAACAAAUUAACUCAAGAUUUUAAACCAGUUGUCAGUGUCCCUUCAAGUCAAAUCCUCUUUCCACUUAUAGCACAGACGUAUGAAAGAGGAGGCUGCUGUUCCUCAGUGAGCACAGAGGAAGAUUGAGUUGUGUGUGGGAGGACAGAACAGGAGAACACUCCAGUUACUUGGACCACUCCUCCGGCAAAAUUAAUAAGUAUUGUUAGAAAGUACUUUGCAGAGAGAAAAAGAAAAGUUAAUCUCCUCAGUGUAGUCGAGUGAUGGGGCUGAGCUGGCAAUAACAGUAAUUAAGCGGGGGGGUGGGGGGAACUUUAUUGAAAAAAGUUGUCUAAUUUUCUCCACCAUUCAGACUUGUUCUGGGGAAACAGGAAUUUUCGUCGCUGUUUCCACACUGGAUAAAUCACUCAAUCUACAAGCAGUAACAAAUCCUUCUUCUGUUCCAGCUCUCUCUGAAGUUCUUUUUCCUCCAGAGAGGGAGAAUUGCAGCUCCAAACUUCAUUCAAAAGGGUCCAGGAUAUUCAAGCCUUCAAAGGUCAUUCAGACACAAACUAAGACAGACCAUCUAGCAAGCAUGUGGGGAUUGAGUUCAAAAUCAAAUCUAGGUAUAUUCAGCAAACUUUAUUCAUCUCCCAGGAGUUCAUCCAUCAGUUUGAGCCUUCAUCUAAGCUGGGGACAUGUGGAUCUGACUUGAUGGCUCUUUGAAAGAGUACAGCUGCAGCAAUUCCACUUUGAGGAAGCCAGAGUACCACUGACUUUUGCUGGUUGAUAAAGUCUUACUACUCCAUUUGUUCUUGGCGCCUCUUCGGCCAUUUUCAGCGCGUCUUGGCUUGAGCAGAGCAGGGGUUGUUUCUGUGCCUGGAUGGAACUGAUUAAGAUUUGAACAACUGGAAGGGGCCUAUCAAAAAGUCGUUGCUGUCAAAUGCCUCAUGGAAAAAAUGCCUGCUCCCCACAGGAAUAUCCCCACUUCAACCAGUCAUAGCUGGUUGACAUCGUAGGCGUUGUUUCAGAAAAGGGUAAAAAUAUUGAAUGUGUCUCUGGAGAAUUCUGUCACUCUCCAGACGUGCUCACUUUGAAUCCUGCUUUAAAACAAACAGUAGAGAGGGAAAAAAUCUGCGGAGUCACUGUUUGUAUUGUAUAUUCUGUGCUGAUGGAUGGGUUCAGUUACUGCAGCUAUUAACCCAGCAAUUUUUAGGAACAUAAAAUUAA